GCCGCCGACGACCGAACGCGAGCCGUCCAGCGCCACCGACUCGACUCGCGCUGGCAGUCGAAGUUUGACUGCUUUGGCUUGCGGACGUGCGUUGACCGUACCCACACGGCUCCUCCUCCCGAUCGAUAGCCCACACAUCGUAUUCGCACCGAUUCGAACGUAAACCGUUCGCGCUACGGACGUAAAUCCGUUUCCAGCCGAUUCCCACGAUCCACCGGCCGACCCGAGAGACCGGGAAGACCCUCGACCAGCACUACGGAACGACCAUCACAACAACAACAAAUAACCAUGGAAGACGACCAAAAUGGCGUCGUCGUCGGGCGGCCGCCGAACAGCGAUACCUGCGGAAUGAUCGUCAACCACGGUGGCGGGGACGACCGGCCGACGACGGCGGCGGCUGCGGCUGCGGCACCGCCUACACCAGCGCUCCCGGCGGCGGCGGCCACGGCUUUCGGAGCUCCUGCGCGCCCAGCGCCGCGGUACGGCGCCCAUUACAACUGCAACAAUAACAAUUCGGUCAUCAAAGGGCAGCAGUUAAAGGGUCCUGGUAAUCUAGAUCACAGAAAUAGACGUACGCGUCGUGGUAAACGUAAAAGCAGAAAACAAACACCAUACAUGAAGGAUGGGAUGUUGUUUCGAGACAAAGCUGUGGCUCCAAAUAACACUAAUCAGUUUUUAAUGGACGAUCAUAAUGAUGGACCAGACAUGGAUAAAAGAUUAUUUGCACGAUACAAUAACGAAAAUGGCCGUACAAGAAAUUCAAGUCAUACUAGUCUCGAGUCUGAGGCGGAACAGAUGUAUUCUUCAUCAGACGAUGAUGGAACUUCAAUACAAAAGGAAUUUAUUGAAUCGUAUAGACUUGUUCAAGAAGAAGAAUUGGCGGGGUUGACUCAAAACGAACUUGUUCAACGAGUGAUUGAGCUUGAAGAAAAAGUACAAAUGCUUGAGUCUAAUAAUAAUAAAAGGUAUAAAAAAAACACAGAUACAUGUUCAAAUGGUACACCCAAUGAAGAUGGAGAAGAAAACCCCUCUAUUGAUGCAGAAGAAUUUAAACUAUUGCAAAUAAAGUAUAGAGAAUUGACAACACAAAACCAAGUGCUGCUAGCUGAAGUUGAAAAUCUUAAACAAAAACAAACCCAGAUGAAUAAUAAGUCAGAUGGCUCUGAUGAUAGUGGAAGUUCGUCAGACUCCAGUAGCUCUUCUAGUUCAUCUGAUGGACAAGAAAUAGAAAUGAAGUUCUUAUUACGGAGUAGUGGAAGAGAUGAAUAGAUGAUUGAUCAGUCAAGUACCAAAAUAAUGUUUAUUGUAAACUGUGAAGUUUGGCAGUGAUCACUUUUAACAUGGAAUAUAGUGAUAACUUAUGCCUAACAAAUAACCACCAGAUUAAACAUCUGCCGAAAAAUGACAGCAACUGGUGUAGUAUUGACGUCAGAAACAAAAUGUUUGCAAAAUAAACAUGGUCAAUGGUGGUCAGCUAAUAUGUCAUAGAGCAAAAAAGUGAAUUGCAGAUUCUGCACUUUUUCUAAAGAUCAGAUUGUGGUGUCAAUAUCUCCAGGAAUUUACUAUUAUCUACAGAUAAACACAUUUUAUUUGUGAAUGAUGAUAAAAAAUUCAAAACCAUACUCCUGGAUAUAAGAUACAAUAUGAAGUUUCAAAUUCUAACAGCUAGUAUUAUCAAAGAAAAAGGGUUAAUAGGAGUAAUAAAAUCUAAAUUAAAACAGAAGAAAAUUGUUAAGAAUUUAUAUUUAUUAUUUAGUAAUAUUAUUUAUUAUCUUAUAUUAAUAAUUGAUUUUAUAAUAUCUCAUAGUAUUAAGUUAACCAAAUAUACUUAUUUAUUAUAAAAUACAAA